rnacentral:rRNA from 1 species
GUUUAUGACAACAGCACUCUGAACAUGCAUGAUCUUGUCUGAUCUUGGAAGCUAAGCAGGGUCAGCCCUGGGUAGUACUUGGAUGGAAGAGUGCUCAUUGCUAAUAAAUA